AACACAUGCAAGUCGAGCGGAGGAUUCGAGAUGUUUACAUCAAAGGAUCUUUAGCGGCGGACGGGUGAGUAACACGUGGGUAACCUGCCUCAGAGUGGGGGAUAGCCUUUCGAAAGGAAGAUUAAUACCGCAUAAGAUUGCACUGCCACAUGGCAGAGCAAGAAAAGGACGCAAGUCCGCUUUGAGAUGGACCCGCGGCGCAUUAGCUAGUUGGUGAGGUAACGGCUCACCAAGGCCACGAUGCGUAGCCGACCUGAGAGGGUGAUCGGCCACAUUGGAACUGAGACACGGUCCAGACUCCUACGGGAGGCAGCAGUGGGGAAUAUUGCACAAUGGGCGAAAGCCUGAUGCACAACGCCGCGUGAGUGAUGAAGGCUUCGGGUCGUAAAGCUCUUU
rnacentral:rRNA from 1 species